rnacentral:rRNA from 1 species
AACGAACGCUGGCGGCAGGCCUAACACAUGCAAGUCGAACGCCCGUAGCAAUACGGGAGUGGCAGACGGGUGAGUAACGCGUGGGAACGUGCCCUUCGGUUCGGAAUAACUCAGGGAAACUUGAGCUAAUACCGGAUACGUCCGUAAGGAGAAAGAUUUAUCGCCGAAGGAUCGGCCCGCGUCGGAUUAGCUAGUUGGUGAGGUAACGGCCCACCAAGGCGACGAUCCGUAGCUGGUCUGAGAGGANGAUCAGCCACACUGGGACUGAGACACGGCCCAGACUCCUACGGGAGGCAGCAGUGGGGAAUAUUGGACAAUGGGCGAAAGCCUGAUCCAGCCAUGCCGCGUGAGUGAAGAAGGCCUUAGGGUUGUAAAGCUCUUUCAGCGGGAAGAUAAUGACGGUACCCGCAGAAGAAGCCCCGGCUAACUUCGUGCCAGCAGCCGCGGU